CCCCGGCUGCCCGGCCGGGGAUGGGGGACCGCCCGGACUCAGGCCCUCGAUUCCCGCCCGGCCGGCCCACGACUCACGAUGAGCCCUUGGCGGCUGGGGUCGUUGUACUGAAGCAGAUACUCCCGUUUAAGCCGGGAUCUUAUGGCCAACCGCUCGGCUUCCGCCUUCCGGGCUUCCGGAGAUACGUUGUAUUCGGCUGGGUCGAGGGUAGAGGGUAGGGUAGCCAGACGCGACGGCUCGUACUUGGGGAACGACAUCUUGGCAAUCCGGGACACAAUUGCGCCUGCGCGACUCCGAGGCCCGCCCCCCCCUCCCCCCUUCUUCUGGCCUUCAUCCUGAGGAAGUGCGCUUGCGCGUUAGCGGAAGUUAAUCUCUGCACCACCACCACCACCCCGCCCCCAAGAAUGCAGUCUCUUUGAAGGCCAGGCCACAGCAAGCUGGACUCACCCUGCAUCCCAUCAUGGGCACACUGCCUGGCACAUCACAGCAGUGGUGACAGGCUAAAUGAUGAGUUGCCUUUCUUCACUUUAAAGCACAUUGUCUGGGAAUCUCAAUGUGAUUUACAAGCUUACAUAACUUCCCAAAUGAGUCAGCAUGCUCAU